rnacentral:rRNA from 1 species
GGCGAUCAGAUACCGCCCUAGUUCUGACCGUAAACGAUGCCAACUAGCGAUCCGCCGAUGGAGAUUAUAUUGCCUUGGUGGGGAGCUUCCCGGAAACGAAAGUCUUCCGGUUCCGGGGGAAGUAUGGUUGCAAAGCUGAAACUUAAAGGAAUUGACGGAAGGGCACCACCAGGAGUGGAGCCUGCGGCUUAAUUUGACUCAACACGGGGAAACUCACCCGGCCCGGACACUGUGAGGAUUGACAGAUUGAUAGCUUUUUCAUGAUUCAGUGGAUGGUGGUGCAUGGCCGUUCUUAGUUCGUGGAGUGAUUUGUCUGGUUUAUUCCGAUAACGAGCGAGACUCUAACCUACUAAAUAGCUGAUACAUAUUUUUUGUGUAUUCGGCUUCUUAGAGGGAUUUGCGGUGUUCAGCCGAAAGAAAUUGAGCAAUAACAGGUCUGUGAUGCCCUUAGAUGUCCGGGGCUGCACGCGCGCUACACUGGCAAAAUCAACGUGCUUGUCCUGCCCCGAAAGGGGUGGGUAAACCAUUGAAAAUUUGCCGUGAUUGGGAUCGGAAAUUGCAAUUAUUUUCCGUGAACGAGGAAUUCCAAGUAAGUGCGAGUCAUCAGCUCGCGUUGAUUACGUCCCUGCCCUUUGUA